rnacentral:lncRNA from 1 species
UAGUUGAUCUUGGGGUCGGGGGCCGUACACUUGGACGAGGACGAGUCCGAUGUUCGGAGUUGACUCGGCAAGAGAAUCGGCGCCUGGGCUUUGGCCAAGGGCAGCUCUUUGGACAAGGAGAUUAGGAAAGGAAUCCAGAGGUAGCUCCACAUCUCUGCCCUGCCGGUGUGGUUUUUGGUGAGACGGCAGCGGUUUGGACGUCGGAGGGGUCGGGUGUUGGGGUGGACGUGGAAUGAGUGAGGAAGCUGGAGGGCAUUUAGGGGAAGAACUGCCUAGGAAGUGUUUUAGUAGCAAUCUGGAUAAGAGGAGGAAGGGGAGGAAGGUGGUAUGACAUUGACUGGUGAUUGUUACGUGAAAGGAAGCCAACAAAAACGUUGUCAUGUCUUACACUUAAUUUUUUCUUUACUUCGAACUAAUUCAAAUUAUAAAGAGUAUUCGAACUUUGAGGGUAUAUGAAUAACAUAUCCAUUUUGGCUAGUUUGGUUAAAUUAAACUCACAUUUGAAUGUAAUACUUGAUCAUUUUUCCCUUAUUAUUCUUUGGUUUAGAAGUGGGAACAAUUAAGUUCGAUUUGAUUCCUCGUAAACUUGAAAACUACAUUGUUAAAUAUGUUUGGUUUGGUUAUGCUUAGUUUAGUCUGGUUUCAUUCAAGAUUUUCACGUAAGCAAAAUAAGACAAAAGUAUUUACAACAAAAACUUUCCUUUCUCUCUUCCUGAGAGACCUUCCCUCUGUGUGAGGGUUAAUAUCACCGAUCUGUGUGAGUGGUUCCCAAUCGAGUCCAAUUCCGGUGCCGCCUAGGAUCGGUGGGUUUUCUUUUGUUUCUUUCUCCAUCUCUUUCUCCUCUUCCAUCCGCUGUUUUCUUCCCUGAUUUUCUUGGUUGAUUUGCCUUCUUCUCUCCCCUUCGCUGUCUCUCAUCCAUAUUCAUCCAAUUUUCAAGCUUCAGUCACCUUUUGCCGCGAUUUGUUGUGGUGUUUCGAGUUGGUGUGCUUUGAUCUGGUGCUUGCACUGGGUCAGGUGUUCCUUGCACCCCACCUUCUCUUUGUUGUCUGUCCUUGUUGGCAGUGUUGCUCGUGGACUGCCAUGAGCUUCUUUCACUUGUCUGCAGGUUCUCUGGUGUUUGUAGCUGGGCUUGGAGUGAAGCUUGGAAUUGGCCGUUGGUAUCAGACAGGGCCCCAAAUUCAAUCAAACAACAUCAUCAAGCUAAACCCAUAAAAGCCUACUACUCAAAGAGAGCCUAACUUCGUUAGAAACCCUAAUUCGAAGAUGCUCUUAAAGAGCCUAAUUUGGCCAUCUAAUCAUCAAUAAUUUGGAGUCAUUUAUUACUGGAUUUGACAUCAAUAGUAGAGAAUAAACAAAUUUUCCUUUAAUAUUUCGGAGGAUGAAUCUGCGGAGAUGUUUGAGUGGUGAAUUGAUUAAAUUAUUAAGUUUUGUAGUUUGAUUUUUUUUUUUAGUCAAAGGUUACUAUUGUGAACACGAAAAUUUUCUGAAACGAAAGAGACAAGAACAACGUGCACAAAAUAAUAUUUGUAUUUUUGAUGAUUUUGGGUUACAAUCUCUCUCAAAUUUGAUCAUCUGAUUCGAUCUCCGUAAGGUAUUGAUUUGUGGAUGUUUCGUUGAUCCAAGGGCCAUCGAGGCUUGAUCUUGGAUGAACUGUUGGAAGUUUCUUCAAGGGGCCGUGGGCUUGAUCUUUGAAGGUGGAUUUGAGCGGAUCUUCAAGGAGCCGUUGGGGCUUGAUCUUGAGGAUGAGUGUUUCUUCAAGGGCCGUUGAGGCUUGAUCUUGAAUAAUGGUGAUGAACGGGUCUUCAAGGGCUUUUGGGCUUGAUCUUGAAGAACAGUGAUGAACGGAUCUUCAAGGGCUUUUGGGCUUAAUCUUGAAGAACGGUUGGAUGUGUGGAUUUGUCAACGUUGUUGAUCCAAAGGGCCGUUGGGGCUUGAUCUUGGAUGAACGGAUGAUGAACGAUGGUGCUUUCUUCAAGGGCCGUCGGGGCUUGAUCUUGAAUUGGUGGAAGUUCUUCAAGGGGGCCUUUGGGGCUUGAUCUUGGAAGAACGAUGAACGAAGAACGAAGAACACUUUCUUCAAGGGCCGUCGGGGCUUGAUCUUGAAUUGGUGGAUGAUUGUUAAUCCAAGGGCCGUCGGGGCUUGAUCUUGGAGAACGAUGAACGAAGAACGAAGAACGCUUUCUUGAUUCUUCAGGAACCUGGAUGCUUGAGAGCUUCGGAGUUUCAGAGCUUCAGAGCUUCAAGAAUUUUGCCUAAUGAUUUUGGUUCCUCUCAAAUGAAUGAAAUUGGCUUCUAUUUAUAGAAUUUUCUAAGGCCUAAUUUUGAAUAUAAUAUUCCAGAUGAAAUAAGUCGUUUCUGCCAGGUGUUGACACGUGUCCUGUUUGAUGACUUUUCCGAUGAUUCUCGAUUUUUUGUUUAGACACACGCUACGUGUAAAAUUUAUGUAAUACAUGAACGCUGAAACUUUGAUUUAUCGGUCAACAUUUAUUUACUGAAAUUUCAAUGUCUACAACUAUAUUACCACAACACAAUUAAUUACACAAAUUGAGGUCCAUAUACAAGAAAAAAAUAGACCUCAAUAGUAACCCAAAUACCCAAAACAAAAAAAACACAGAAGUUAACCCUAACUGCUUUCCUUUAACGGCAUCGUCGAAUGCACCGAUCGCGACGAUCAGGAGCCUACACCACCAACUUUCGCCAAGAACCCACAUCUCAAAGAUGGAAAUAAGAUGAAUUUCGCCUUCCAACAUAUACCAUCUCACUGAUCGUAGCCAUUGAUUGAGAGAAACCAAAGAAGCCCGUGGGAUCGCCACGGACAACAUUGCCAGAAAUGGUAGACAAAGAGAAGAAGGUGGUGUUGCCACCCAAGCUGGUGAAAACUCCGGAUCUCUACGCACCUUCUCAGUUGAAGACCGCAUCACUUCACGGUUAAAAUUGAUUACAAAUUGGAAUGGAGAUUGAGUUGGUGAAAGCCAAAAUAAGAACAUGUCUAUGGAUGGAUGGAAGAUCUGAUAUGAGGGCAACAGAUGUACCUGUGAAAAUCGAGGUGAAUAUGGAAAUCAAAAUAGGAAGGAAAGCAAGAAAAACACCAGAAGUAGAAGAAAGAGGAAACAAAGGAAGAAGGAAGGGCUGCCACCGACCCUAAUCAGAAUUAGGGCCGGCAACAAAGGAAAAUCUCAAGUGUUGCUGCUGCUCUCACUCAUGGAGAGAAUUAUAAUUUUAGGUUAAAACCCUUCAAAUUCGGAUCGUGUUCACCCCUAAACCCAAACAAGAAUAAAUAGAACACAAUUAUAAAUUCAUUAUAUGUUUCAGUUACUGAAAGUCAUUUUAAUAUUAAAUUACAACACGAGGUAUAAAUUAUGUAUAUUGUAAUGUCAUUGCGUCAAUAUAUCAAAUGUAUACAAGAUUUUCCGUAGAGCAAUUUUUUUUUUAUCUAGAAUUUCACUCCAACAAAAAAAUACAGAAUUCAGAGUAUGACAAGCUUUUUAGUGAGUAGUCAUGCGCGUAUGUUUAUCACUUCAUGUAUAACAUCGAAGUCAAAUUAUGUACAGAAGUAAUUAGUACAUAAAGCGUAAGUCUUCUGUUUUGUAGCUAAUCUUCAACUAUGAAAUAGAACUCGUCACAAAAAAAAAAAAAAAAAAAAAAAAAAAAACUAUGAAAUAGAACCACGUGAUCAGCAAUUUGUUAAAAUAAAAUUACCCAAAUUUUUAUGUUUAGGGUUUCUGGGUGUUGGUUUUCAAGCUGCCUAAGUUUGACUAGGUGGAAGAAACCAGUAUACACAAAAAAGAAACUAUUUAAUUACGUCCUUGCUAUUACAUAACUUACAUUAGGAUUAAAAUACGUAACGUAAUUCACAAGUCUAUGUUUAACUACUAAUGUACUCUUACGAUAAUUAACCGGUGAUAUUAUUCAUAUACCAAAAAUCAACCAAUAAAUUUAAGUAGUUACAGUGACAAAUCAUUUUCAUCUUCUUUUUAUGCUUUAUGGAAAAGAUUCCAAUGAAUAUAAGGUCAAACUAUUAAGUAAUCCUUACUGAGCAGUAAUCAGCAUCUAGUAGAUUAAUCAGACUUGCAAAGUUGCAGUACAGUAAAGGCAUUGGAACUUCUUACUCUUGAUAUUCAGAAAAAAUAAAGCAUACUGUUGAUGCACAAAAUCAGUGAGGACUUUGGUAUAAUAGAAAGUGUUAAGUUUAUGACCUUCGUUAGAUUGCUCCGGUCACUAGUGUGGACAAGUAUGUAAAUGGAUAGGGACAGGGAAGCAAACACAAGAUGUACGUGGUUCACCCAGAUUGACUACGUCCACGUAGUAGAGGAGUUCUCAUUAAUUGUGAAAGGUUUACACAAGUACAUAGGUUCAAGCUCUCCUUUAGUGAGUACUAGUGAAUGAUUUAAUACAAAUGACAUUCAGAAAUAUUGUGAGAGAAUGAUCUCUAUUCAUAGAAGAGAGUUUCUAGUUUCAUUCUGACAUUGAUACGUGUCGUGUUGUGAUUGGCUUCUGAUGUCGACACGUGUCGCGCUGUGAUUGGCCUUCUGGUUGGAAGGAAACUCUUAUGGGUCCUUGACGGUAUAACGUUGACCGGUGCUCAGCUUUUGUUGAAAAUUGUAGUUACCCUCCAUUGAUGAAGCUUUUGUUGGCACCAUAAAUUGGUUUUGCUUCACACUUUCUUGAUCAAGAGUGUGUGAAGCUUUUGAGAAUUGUGGUUGAACUUCUUUGAUGAAGCUUUUGUUGGCACCAUAAAUUGGUUUUGCUUCACACUGUCUUGAUCAAGAGUGUGUGAAGCUUUUAAGAAUUGUGGUUGCACUCUAUUGAUGAAGCUCUUGUUGGCACCAUAAAUUGGUUUUGCUUCACACUGUUUUGAUCAAGAGUGUGUGAAGCUUUUGAGAAUUGUGGUUGAACUCCUUUGAUGAAGCUUUUGUUGGCACCAUAAAUUGAUUUUGUUUUACAUUGUCUUGAUUAAGAGUGUGUGAAGCUUUUGAGAAUUGUGGUUGCCCUCCAUUGAUGAAGCUCUUGUUGGCACCAUAAAUUGGUUUUGCUUCACACUGUCUUGAUCAAGAGUGUGAAGCUUUCUACGAGUUGUAGUGUUUGCAUUGUUACAGAGGGAAAAUGUCUGAAGUAGAUGCAAGAGGGCUGAAUAGCUUGAUCUUCGUACACCAUGCACUGAAGUUGUUGUUGGCUUGCAAUAAGACUUUGUUGGUGACUAUAACUCUUGUUGGGAAUAAGUGUUCUCCUAGUUGAGUUGUCAAGCUUAAGGGUUUUUGAUUAUUUGUGAAUGCUAGGAGUUCACAUGUACAAGUUGUACCACUCGUCUUCUGGUAGGUGGAAUGAAUGGUGAGUUGCUUUCAUCACUUGGUUGGUGGUACGAAGGUGAGUUCUUUCAUCACCUUUCAUCACCUGGUUGGUGGCAUGAAUGGCAAGUUGCCAAAUAAUAUUAGAGUAUGGGUUGUACAUUUCAUCACCUGGUUGGUGGCAUGAAAGAGAGUACGGGUUAUACACAUCACCUGGUUGGUGGCAUGAUGAUGAGUUCCUUCUUCACUUGGUUGGUGGCAUGAGUGACAAGUUGUCAAAUGAUAUUAGAGUACUGGUUGUACAUUUCAUCACCUGGUUUGUGGCAUGAAGGAGAGUACGGGUUGUACAUUUCAUCACCUAGUUGGUGGCAUGAGUGGCAAGUUGCCAAAUGAUAUUAGAGUACGGGUUGUACAUUUCAUCACAUGGUUGGUGGCAUGAAGAAGAGUACGAGUUGUACAUUUCAUCACCUGGUUGGUGGCACGAAGAUGAGCUCAUUCUUCACCUGGUUGGUGGCAUGAAUGGCAAGUUGCCAAAUGAUAUUAGAGUACGGGUUGUAUAUUUCAUCACCUGGUUGGUGGCAUGAAGAAGAGUACGGGUUGUACAUUUCAUCACCUGGUUGGUGGCAUGAAGAUGAGUUUCUUCUUCACCUGGUUGGUGACAUGAGUGGCAAGUUGCCAAAUGAUAUUAGAGUACGGGUUGUACAUUUCAUCAUCUGGUUGGUGGCAUGAAGGAGAGUACGAGUUGUACAUUUCAUCACCUGGUUGGUGGCAUGAAGAUGAGUUCCUUCUUCACAUUUCAUCACCUGGUUGGUGAGAAUAAGGGUAAGGUGUCAAGGCACAUUGUAGCAAGUGUCAAAGACACAAAGUAUGUUGAACCCUUUCGAAGCACAGUUGGCUUAUGUAUGGAUGUGUUGGAAUGUAUGAUGUUUAUGUUGAAUGUAUGUAUGAUGUAUAUGUAUGGAAUGUAUGAUGUUUAUGUAUGAAUGUGUUGGAAUGUAUAAUGUUUAUGUCGAUUGAUAUGAGUGAUGCUUAUGAAUGUUUUGCUAUGCAUGAAGGGAUCCAUGCUUUUGAUAUGUGAGCCAUGUUGGUUGUAACACUUAGUAUCACAUACUUUAUGUUAAAGUAUGCAUGUUGAAGCUCUGAGUUGGAGUAUAAGGGUAGGUCAGCGUAGACCAAGUGUUUUAGUGCUAGGAAUGCAAAAGACUCAGAAGAAGUUGUCUGAAUUCCCUCUUCUUUAAAUAUUUGCCGAAUAGCUUGUGUGACAAAAGAUCUCAAGCGGUUGAGAGUCAAAACAUUUGUAAUGUGUAUGCCUUCUUAUAAUAGCAUUUCCUUCAGUACCUAGUCCUCCACUUUGAAAGAGUGAGGCUUGGCCCCAUAGUCAUAAUAGUCGAUUGUACGUUCACCCCUGGUUAUCUUGAUACGAACUUUUAUCCCUCUUGUUGUAAUGGGCUUGCUAAGAAUAAACAUCCUUCCUCUUACCAAGAGACAUAUAUGUUUGGUGACUUAACAAGUAGCUAAAUGAGGCAUGAGAUGAUGCAAUAGGUGUCUGAAUGGCCAAUAUCUCCUCACUUGGUAGAACUUGACUUCCACUUCCCAUUUAUUGAUAGGGGUUAACCAUAUCGGGGUUCCCUUGGUAUGUCCUUACUUCGGCGGAGGCAUGGUUGUAAGCAUGUGCCAUCACCUUAGAGUAAGUCUUCCAAGUGUUGGCAUUGAUCAUGUACUUGAAGAAACAAUCAUGUAGGCCUGCCGUGAAGGCCUUGAGGGCGGUCUUGUCAUCUGCCUCAGCGCAGUGAGAAUACUCAUGGCUGAAGCGACCGGCAUACUCUCGUAGUGACUCGUCCGGCUUCUGACGAAUAGUAUACAAGUCAUCUGCAUAAUACAAGUGAUCGGUCUGGAAGAUCUGUUGAGAGACAAACAAUUUCCUCAAUUCCUCAAAUGAGUCUACUGUCUUAGGUGGAAAACGACAAUACCAGUUUAGAGCUUCGCCAGAGAGGGUGGAGGGGAAGAGAAGCCAUCGCUCUUCGUCGGUGUGCAUCCGAUAUGCCAUGGUAGACUUAAAGAGGUUAAGGUGUUCAAUUGGGUCCUCAUUUCCAGUAUAGAGUUGUAGUCCAAGCUUUUGUUUUGUCUUCGCUUGAAGAGGGGUGUCGAGGAUCCUUCUUGUGAGAGGGCCAGGCCUGGGUUGGUUCCAGUCAGGUAUCCCGGCCUGAUGUUCAGCCUUCAACUUGUUUACUUCCUAAAGGAGCUGUAGGACAAGGGGGUCCUAAGUGGAGUCAUGUAUCACUGAAAUUUUCUUUUGUAAGUUUCCAUCGCCUCUUGGAAGUAGGAAAGUUUGAGCAAGGGCGUGUGUUUUUUUCUUGGACUCGUUGUACUGACUUCUAGGGCGAGUCUGUCGGAAUACCUCAGAGUCCCCCGUACCUUCAUGUUCUUUUGAGACCUAUCGUUCCUUCCUUAGAUUGGUAGCUGGCCUGGGUCUUGGGAGGGGACUGAGUAUUUCAGAAACCCUUGGGUCAUUGAUCUUCGAUCAUAUGUGGAUGAGAUUCUCUCGAUGUUGCUUUAGGAAGUCUCGGCAAUCACGAUAAACGGCUUUCGAUCAUUCCAACCCUUCUGCAAGGAGGUGUCUUCCUCCACUUCUUCUACUUCGGGUCGAAGCAUUUGGGUUGAGAGAAGUCUCAUGUUGAUCAAUGUUUUGAUGAUUAGCUCGCUCCUCAUCAGGGACACCCAUGUUGAAGGAAGGUGACCCUCCGUGUUGGGGGGCACCCAGAUGAUGGUUGAUGUCCACAUGGGCAAUAAGCUCGCGUGUUUGAGUACGCCUAGUUUCGUGGAGCGUCUCAAAGAGCUUCUCAUACUGCUCGUGGAGGACCUCAUUCUUCAUUGCUAUCUUGUUGUUCUGAGCUUCUAGCUCAUCGACUUUAGCUUGAAGAGCAACCCUCUUUCCUUCCUUUUUUCGUUGCUUCGCACUAGGUGCAAGAAGGGUGUCAUUCUGUGUGCUGUGGCUUCCUUCACUCCCUAUGUUGGAGAGGGAUGUCUGGUCAAAAGAGAGUGUACGAAUGGUGGAAACCAGCUUGGCAAAGUUGAAGAGAGUGGGAAUAAGUGUCGUUCCCAUAGACGAUGCCAAAUGUUGAUGCACAAAAUCAGUGAGGACUUUGGUACAACAGAAAGUGUUAAGUUUAUGACCUUCGUUAGAUUGCUUCGGUCACUAGUGUGGACAAGUAUGUAAAUGGAUAGGGACAGGGAAGCAAACACAAGAUGUACGUGGUUCACCCAGAUUAGCUACGUCCACGGAGUAGAUGAGUUCUCAUUAAUUGUGAAGGGUUUACACAAGUACAUAGGUUCAAGCUCUCCUUUAGUGAGUACUAGUGAAUGAUUUAGUACAAAUGACAUUUGGAAAUAUUCUGAUGUCGACACGUGUCGUGCUGUAAUUGGCCUUCUGAUUGGAAGGAAACUCUUCUGGGUCCUUGAUGGUAUAACGUUGACCAGUACUCAAUAGUUUCGGGAUUGGUCAAGUAUGGUACAAACACAAACCUUUUAUUUAUAUGAGUAAAACAGAACGAAAUAUACCUGUUAUCUCUCAAGCAAUUCUCAACCAUAGGAGCCUGCUUAGAGAGCUUUUCUGCUUGCACAAAUUCAGCAUUCCACAAUGCAGCUGGAUCCUUUGGGAUGCAAGCUUGCACACUAUAAACCCCGACCGAGCAGUUGCCAUCAAAUUCUUCUUUUGCUUCUGCAUAUAAUUUGACAGACAUGAAUUCCAUAAUAUUUCCACUUCCCGGAUGUGUAAUGAUGAGACAAGCUAAGUCUGAAUGUUGACAAAAAGAUGAUGAGACGGACCAAGAAGCUAAGUCUGAAUGUCUGACAAAAAGAUGAUGAGACGGACCAAGAAAAAGCAUGAACAAUUAUCUUAGAUUUCAACAAGCACACCUUAAAAAAUUAAAAAUUAAAAAUUAAAAAACUGAAACCAUUGUUACAUAGCUCAUGAAAGGAUGAAUACGCUCAAAAAUAUAAUAGCUUCCAUACUGUGUCAACCAUAACUCAUGUCCGCGUAAGUCUAUGUAUGUCAUCCUAUUGGGAAUCUAACCCUCCAAACUACUGCUCUCACUCUCUGUCAACAUGUUCUAUUGCAUCUAAUACAACCAGAAAAGACGCCAUUGACUUAAAUCAUCAUAUUCUAUCUAAAAGGAAUAUAAUUGGAUGCUCCCUACCCCUUUUCGAUUUUAGUUGAAAAUAUCACAAGCAAACAUACAUACUUUCUUACAAAUAAAUGUUACCUGCAAGUUUAGGCCCAGAAACAAGCCUUGUAUGGUAGCUCGAAGGAUCGCUCUUCAACCAGCCAGCCAAAACAUACACCAAUUCGAACCCAUUUCCAUGAUUUUCAACAAACUCCUGGAGUAACCUAUACAAAACAACUUUCAAUCACCUGUAAACAAAAAAUGCAACCCGGGAAAUAUUGAAAGACAGUUCCUAUACCUCUUUGCAGCAUUGGAAGACACAAAGUAAUUUCGACUCAGCCACUUGUACGAAACCUAUAGCACAGUUGAGCACCGGAAGAAACUUACUUUAGACAAUAUUAUGAAUUCAUAUGAGGUUAAACACAUCUCAACUCAAAUUCCCACCAAGAAAUUUCGUUUUGUCAACGAAACACAGAAGUAACAAUUCAGUAUCAACGCUUGACUGAGAGCGGUUUCCAAGCUUAUUGCAUUCCUGAACCUAACCCAUCAUUAAAUCCCUAAAAAAUUACAUCUUUUUUAUGAAUACAAAAACCCUUUUAACAAUAAACUAAAGAACAUAAACUCUUUCAGCUUGGUAAUUAAGGCAAGUAAAAGAUUUGUCUCACUACAUAACAAGAAAGCAGUAAAAUUUUGUUCAACCCGUGUUAUUCCUGUGUAAAAUGCUCUAAUGGUAAAUCGUUUAGUUCACACUUCUGGGCAAGAACUCACUCUUGGCUCCUAUCCCCAUUGAAUGGAAGAAGAUUUAACAAAUAACACGUGAUGUAAUUUGAAACUUGUCCCCCCAAAAGGUUUUCUCCUAAAAAACGAAGUUAAAAAAAAAAAACUGUGAGAAUAUAAGUUCAAGCAACACUUUUUCCUCUUCUAUCAUAAAGAAUCAAACGAUGAAAUCCUAAUUCAUUAUCCCGCUCUCCCUCUCUCACCACCUGGGCUAACCGGGGUGUGUGUGUGUGUGACCGAGGCAUAGUUGUGUGACUGAGUGAUACAGCGAAACUAGUUAUAGCCAGUAAACUCACAAGUGCGUAUCAGAGAUGAACCUAAUUCAUGUGAUGAAGCUGCAAUUCUACUGUGUUAUGUUAUGUGACACAAGUAAACACUAAUUAAGUUCGCACAGAAACUUCCAUAACUUCUCUGGAUUCCAAUGUCUAGCUGUAGUGCAGAGUAUCGUGCAAUUCUACUGGCUCCUGUUCCGGGUACACGGAAACAUCUCUCAUGUACCAGGAACUUGGAAAAAAUUCUAACUUGGGAUACAAGCAAUAUUCUUGUUGCAACUUUAUAUAUACACCGGACUGCCGAGUAGUGAUUAUUUAAUAAAUAAUCUGAUACAUAAUCUGGUGACAUGUAAAUUACAAACAGGUUUUACACUCAUGAGAGUGCUAAGGUCCUGUAAAUACAAUGUUUACAUUUCAUUUCCAUUGUCUAUACAGUUUCGACGCAUACGUUUAAUUUACAAAUGAGCGAGUGAAGGUUGCGUAAAGAUGUAAACUUCGUCGAAUCCCCUCCUGCAAUCGGAAAGCGUAGGACAACCAAGUUAAUAAAUCCAUGCAUAAAUCCAAAAUAAUAAUGCAGUUUGAAGUUCAGUUUUUGGUUUACCCAGCCUUCCCACAAAAAGUGGGACUGUAGUUGUAGAUGAGAUUGUCAAGGACUUCCCGGACAGGCGGUCUGUUUAAUGACUUCCUUGCCUCACUGCAUCACAAAUUCAAAAUUAGACUAAGUUUUGGGUCCGCAAUCAUUCCGGUUGAAUAAACUUAAGUGAAUUUUAAAGUUGUAGAUGCAUAUCCUGAAUUCUGAAAUAUGACACCGUGAAAAGUUGUUAAUACAGUAGAACCUCGAUAAUUGAAUAAACAAAUAAUGCGGUUAUCUGAAGACUCUAAACCUUAAAUUUUCCAUUUUUUUUUUCUACCUCUGCCCUCCAGACAAAGUUGAAACGCACAGCGGUUUACUUAGAACUAAAAGACAGAUACAGAAGGAGCCCUAACCUGACCAAGAAGUUUGCAGCGUGCUGGGUCACUUGAAUAGCAUCCUCUGAGUGCGGAAUCAUUGGUAAGCCCCAUUCGAAAGCAUUUUUCUGCAUCUUAAUUAGUUAGUCUUCUCAUACUUGAAACAAAUCCGUCGGAAUAAUCUAAUAAGUCCAGAUUUUCUCAAAGGUCUUUUGCUUUUCCCAAUUCUUCGUUAUGCAAAAUUGUACAGGUUCCACGGUUAUAAUUAUUGAAAAUCUUUCUUAAGAACACAAAUAUAGUAAUAUUGGAAGUGUCUUAAGUAGAACUAAUUAGUGUUUUAUGUGCCAAUCUUUCAUACAAAGAUGGUACGAAGAGCAAACUUUGAUAAUUACACAAUAGUAGCCUCUCCUCCACAAGGUUGUGAAUACAUCUUACGUAGAAAUCCUUGCAGAUGCAUAUUCAAAUAUAAAGAGCCUCGAGAUGGUUCCAUAUCCAAACACUGUUAAUGGUAGCAUUAAAGCAGACGAAAGAAAUAUUGUGGUAAUACCUCUGGAUGCCAUUGGAAGGCAGUCACAGGAUAGUUGUAUGCGUGUGCUGUGGACACAUAGACCUGGCAUUAGUGUUAUUGCAGCAGUUAGAAUCUUCUGGGGAAUAAAAUGAAUUGGGGAACUUGACUAGAGAGAUGUUUCAUAACAUGGUGAAACCACAUAACCAAACGAGAUAGUUACAUUCAGUACCUUAUCAUCUUCAUCAGUACAAGUUGUCAAGAUCUUAAAGAAACUCGACAGAUUCUCGUUCUCCAUAAGCCUCUCUGGUGAGAUACCAUACUGUUGCGUUGAAUCAUUACAAACUUAUGUUAGAAAACCUAAACCAUGCUUUCUAAGCAUAAGCAUAACCAUAUGGAUAAGAGCAGCAGAAAAACAAAAUGCAUGGUACGAGAAGCAUAAAUCAAACAGUAAACAGAAAGAAUGAAACUCAUAAUUACUCAUAAUCCAAGAUAUUCUCAAAACACAGUCAUUUGUCUCAUCAAUCUUGUCGAUGACUCGACAAACUCAGAAUCAUAAUGAAACAAUCUAAACUUCUCAACCGAAGUUAAUUAUAUAUGUUUUGAAGUGGUUUUGCCUUUGCUAAAUGAAAAAACAAACUGAACAAUUAUAAGAUUUGACCAAGUAAAUGGUUUUCGAUUUGAUAAUUCAGGAUCAAACCAUGCAUAAAUGAUAUAUUUGAUAACUAUGUCUAGCUUCAAGGAAGGAGCCUUCAGAUUAGAACUCACUUUAUGGUUUUGCAUUACAAGACAAUCUGUACUCAACUUCUUAAGCAAGUCCGGAGGAAAUCUGCAAAAGUAAAAAAAUUAAUUUAGUGGCUGAAGAAGUUAAAUCACCCUGGAUGUACAGUAACAUAUAAGAAACUUCCAUACAAAUUCAUAGAACAUCAACCCUCCUCCUUAAUAAUUAGAACGAAGGUCAUAAAGAUCAGACAAAGAUGAUGUCUAGCAUGCUCUAUUGACGUCUACUCCGCUUAACCCUACUGAUUAGGCUGAAGUACAUAAAUUUCUCGUGUUCAGUCCUAUUUAAGGGAAUGUUCCUCUUUAAAAUCUGUGAUGAGCAUGCUAGCUGCAGGGAAGCCAACUCGAAUGAUGGUUGGGUUUUUCAUAAAGAUAGAUAUUUAAUUUUAUAAGAAUCAAACAAAAAAAUACAGAAGAUAGAUUAGAAUCCUCCCCCCCCCCAAAAAAAAAAAUUGAGUCAGGAAAACCACAUUCCAAGAUUUAUACCUUUGAAAAACAGUUCCUUCAAUAACGGCGUUCUCGGUAAAUUGUAAAGUUGAGGCCGCAUCUACUGCACUGAAUGACUCCAGAAUUUUCUUGUUCUAGAAGGAAGAAAGAAAGUUGUGUAAAUCAUAAAAUUGGGAAAAUAUAUUAAGAAUGAUGCAUCAAUAAGGAUAAAAAAAAAAAAAAAACUCGACGAGUUAAAAGUAGACUACAACUAAUUGACAUGACUAAGGUGAUUCAGAUUGAAAGGAAUACUGUGACAAUUCUAAUAAAGGAAAUUGAACUGUUAUUGCAUAUUUCAAUGUUGGAUGUCAAGUUGUAAAUGGAUGCACCCUCACUAAAGACUAUUCUUUUCAUAGUCUCAAGUUGUAUGCCCACUAAAGAAACCAAGAAAGGCCAUUCUCAAACGAAGAUACAAGGCACGUGGUAAAAUAGUUUUGAAUUGCAAUUGUCGCCCUAAAAAACAGAUGUGCUGGUUUUGCUUCUUUUAGAAAUUGAAUCAUUUAAAGCGCCAAAAUGUACAAAUUUGAUCAUUUACAGUGGCUACUUAGGCAUUUAUGCAUUCAAAAAGGUGAAAGAAAUGCAAUUUGAAGGAUGAGGCUGAAUUCUUAGGGAAAAACAAUGUACUUUGAGAAGGAUAGUUUACCUUGCUGAUGAUCAUUGCUAGAAGUUCAAAACCUAAGCAGAUGGCGUAUAAUGGAAAAUGAUCUCCACCAUCAUUCUUCUCUAUAAUUUUCUGCAGAAAACAGAUACAAACGUAGCUAAUAAACAUGGAAUGGAACUAUGGACGAAUUCUUGAGAAAAGCAAUGAAACUAAAUUCUUAAGAGAAGCAAUGAAACUAUCCUAAGAGAAUUUACUGGAAAUCUUUAUGAUGCAGAGAGCCCUGAAGCAUCUAAGGUUAGCCAACGAUGACUGUCAUGUUUCUAAAUCUAAUGCAAAAAGAUUGAACUUUGACCUCUAAACCCCUAUUUAGUGGUUAGGCUGACCAUUCUAUCUAACGAGUAUCUAUCAAAUUUUCUUUUGCCUAGUGUUGGCUGGCAAACAGAGAAUGAUCCUUCAUGCUGAUGAUCAUGGGCAAUGACAUGAUAUUGGGAUUGGUAUGAUGUCAAUUUUGACCUCUAAAAACCAAAACCCUAUUAAGAAUCAUGAUUCUUAUGCUGCCAUGUCCCGCCAAUACUAAACUGAUCGAGUAACGAUUUAGAUCAAUUUAAGUUUGAACGAAAGGUUGGAGUUUUUUUUUGUUCAUAAAACUGAGUCCAGAGGAGCAACUAAAGCACAUCAAGGGGUUGAGGCAUGUUCUGCAAUGACCAAUUUUCUAUGUAGAAAGUAGUCUUCUGUUUGUUUAGCAGAAAAUUGACCCCGUAGUAUAUAAAAGUUAGAUUUAAAUGGUCCGCUUGGCAAACCAGGACUAUAAUGUUAGUGUAGAUCAUACACUAAAGGGUUACUAUAUCAAGCACUAAAUUACCUUAAAUAUUCUCUCGGCAACGUCAUAGUACAAACCACUUUUAGCCCAUCCUCCGGUGAAAAGCACGCCAUUGACGAGGUCAAGCUUCUGCAAAGCAGCAUUAUAUAGUGAGCAACAUAACAAAAUCACCGCUACAGGCCGGCUUAGUUUAUAUAUGCACACAUAUUGGAACUUGAAUAAAUGAACAGCCAGUAUUCACACCAGCUUCAAUUUUUUAUUCUUAGCCCCAAAAACAAAAGAAAGCUUCCGAAUUUCGAUUCGAAAGGCCAAUACAAAUACUGGGUCGUUUUUAUAAAUGUGGUUUCUCCAGCUAAAACAAAAGAGCCUAUACAUAUAUCAUAUGCCAAUUUUAAGGCUUUUGAAAAUUUAAGCACUUCUUCCGAGUAAAGUUAACUCAACCCAUGAUGUGCUUCUUUGAAAAGCAGCUUUUACGUAAGCAACACAGAAGCAACUUCUAUAAAAAGCUCGAUUUGUUAUGGAGAUCACCUGGAAAAGUAUAUCGGGAGGCUCGUUGUAGAUGAGAGGAAUAACACGAGCUCCAGCCGAUUCAACGAACUUGACGUAAGAAGCUGCGAUAUACGACGCCGUGGAGGCGUUGCUCAGCCGGCCAGAAGCGCCGUCGCCAGGGUGGCUCAGGAUACCGAUCACCGGCCGGUAGUUGAUCUUGGGGUCGGGGGCCGUACACUUGGACGAGGACGAGUCCGAUGUUCCGAGUUGACUCUGCAAGAGAACCGGCACCUGGGCCUUGGCCAAGCUCAGCUCUUUGGACAAGGAGAUUAGGAAAGCAAUCCAGAGGUAGCUCCACAUCUCUGCCGGUGUCGUUUUUGGUGAGACGGCGGCGGUUUGGACGUCGGAGGAG